UGCCAAGUCGAACGGUAGCACAGAGGAGCUUGCUCCUUGGGUGACGAGUGGCGGACGGGUGAGUAAUGUCUGGGAAACUGCCCGAUGGAGGGGGAUAACUACUGGAAACGGUAGCUAAUACCGCAUAAUGUCGCAAGACCAAAGAGGGGGACCUUCGGGCCUCUUGCCAUCGGAUGUGCCCAGAUGGGAUUAGCUAGUAGGUGGGGUAACGGCUCACCUAGGCGACGAUCCCUAGCUGGUCUGAGAGGAUGACCAGCCACACUGGAACUGAGACACGGUCCAGACUCCUACGGGAGGCAGCAGUGGGGAAUAUUGCACAAUGGGCGCAAGCCUGAUGCAGCCAUGCCGCGUGUAUGAAGAAGGCCUUCGGGUUGUAAAGUACUUUCAGCGAGGAGGAAGGUGUUGAGGUUAAUAACCUCAGCAAUUGACGUUACUCGCAGAAGAAGCACCGGCUAACUCCGUGCCAGCAGCCGCGGUAAUACGGAGGGUGCAAGCGUUAAUCGGAAUUACUGGGCGUAAAGCGCACGCAGGCGGUCUGUCAAGUCGGAUGUGAAAUCCCCGGGCUCAACCUGGGAACUGCAUCCGAAACUGGCAGGCUAGAGU
rnacentral:rRNA from 1 species